rnacentral:rRNA from 1 species
UACGUAGGCAGCGAGCGUUGUUCGGAGUUACUGGGCGUAAAGGGUGCGUAGGCGGCCCUGUAAGUAUGGUGUGAAAUCUCCCGGCUUAACUGGGAGGGUGCGCUAUAGACUGCGGGGCUCGAGUGUGGGAGAGGAAAGUGGAAUUCCUGGUGUAGCGGUGAAAUGCGUAGAUAUCAGGAGGAACACCGGUGGUGUAAACGGCUUUCUGGACCAUAACUGACGCUGAGGCACGAAAGCGUGGGUAGCAAACAGG